rnacentral:rRNA from 1 species
UUCUUCGGAAUGAGUGGCGCACGGCUGAGGAACACGUGACUAACCUACCCCGGUGUGGGGGAUAACGGGUCGAAAGACUCGCUAAUCCCGCAUACGAUCCGCCUCGGCGGAGGAAAGCCGUAAGGCGCACUGGGCGGGGGUCGCGUCCCAUUAGGUAGUUGGUGUGGUAAUGGCGCACCAAGUCGAUGAUGGGUCUCUGGUCUGAGAGGACGACCAGACAGGUUGGGACUGAGACACGGCCCAAACUCCUACGGGGGGCAGCAGCAAGGAAUUUUCGGCAAUGGGCGCAAGCCUGACCGAGCAACGCCGCGUGGAGGAUGACGGCUCUUGGGUUGUAAACUCCUUUUGGGGGGGACGAUAAUGACGGUACCCUCCGAAUCAGGCCCGGCUAACUACGUGCCAGCAGCCGCGGUAAUACGUAGGGGCCAAGCGUUGUCCGGAAUUACUGGGCGUAAAGCGUGGGUAGGUGGUCGGUGAUGUGCCGCGUGAAAGCGCCGGAGUAAUGCCGGCGAGGUCGCGGUAGACACACGGACUCGAGGCUCGCAGAGGAACGUGGAAUUCCCGGUGUAGUGGUGAAAUGCGUAGAUAUCGGGAGGAACACCAGUGGCGCAAGCGGCGUUCUGGGCGAGACCUGACACUGAGCCACGACGGCGUGGGGAGCAAACAGGAUUAGAUACCCUGGUAGUCCACGCAGUAAACGAUGCAUACCAGGUGUGGGAUGGCGUUCGCGUCGUUCCGUGCCGCAGCUUACGCGAUGAGUAUGCCGCCUGGGGACUACGAGCGCAAGCUUAAAACUCAAAGGAAUUGACGGGGGCCCGCAC